rnacentral:rRNA from 1 species
AUUCCAGCUCCAAUAGCGUAUAUUAAAGUUGUUGCAGUUAAAAAGCUCGUAGUUGGAUUUCAGAGUGAGCUCGUCCGGUCGGCCUAAAUGGUCUGAACUGGUUGACUCUCUCUUGCUUGUGGAUCCCGCCCGGAGUUAACUCUUCGGAUGUGGACUUCACAUCGUUUACCUUGAAAAAAUUAGAGUGUUCAAAGCAGGCGUAUGCUUGAAUAUAUUAGCAUGGAAUAAUGGAAUAGGACCCUGGUUCUAUUUUGUUGGUUUUGAGGACCAGAGUAAUGAUUAAUAGGGAUAGUUGGGGGCAUUCAUAUUUCAUUGUCAGAGGUGAAAUUCUUGGAUUUAUGAAAGAUGAACUACUGCGAAAGCAUCUGCCAUGGAUGUUUUCAUUG